UUUUCGUGGACAAACUUUUCACGAACACAUAACCCUCUUCUUCCUCUGAUUCAUCGAUAAUCCUCUUCUUCCUCCGAUUCAACGAUUCAGUCAAUUUUCUUCUACCUCAGUCCUCUUCUUCCUCCGAUUGAUGCACUGUUCGCCUCCGAUUUCCACUCGAAUAGAAAGAACGAAGAAAACUCAAUCUCCGUCGGACUCAGCCUUCCUCAGCUCACCACCGUCAUCUUUCUGUUCAUUUGUAUUUUAAGCAAAAGUCGGCAUUGAGGGUUUAUAAGAAUAAGAAAUACUUGCCUUUGGAUUUGCGUCCUAAGAAGAUAAGAGCUAUUAGAAGACGUCUCACCAAUAAUCAGGUGGAGGUUGUGUUUCGUGGAAUUGAAAAAUCAAAGCUUGAAUGCAUUAUUCAUUUGUAGUUGGAAUACCAUUUGCUACCUCUUUCCUAAAUCAUAAGUAAAGAUACAUGUAGGACAAUGUAUAGCUUAAUAUGGAGAUGCAUAUUGCUUUAAAGUCUUGAAGGAACAGCAUUGUUGUUGUUUGAUUGUUCUAUACCUCCACCUCUAGAGAUGGCCGGAAGAAGAGGAUUGACAGGGACUAUUCUCUUUUUGUUUUGGGAUUUAGAUUAAAGUACUCUUAGAUGGAAUGCAUGCAUCUACAAAAAAAAAUUUAAGUACACUAAAUACCCUCUAUAUGUUAUGAUAUUUGUAAACAAGAAGAUUUGGUUUAAAAUGUUAUUUGGUAUUGAUGGAUCAUAAUAUAUAUGUAAUGAGUAACUUAAAGUGUUAUUUAGUAUUGAACUAAAUGUAGCUUUUUGAUAUUUGCACAUCAAUAGAAUGAUAUUAUGUAUAG